AAGGUCAAUAUUAAUUUUGCAGUACAUAUCACAUCAUAUUUACCAGCUAAAAAGUACAUUAUCUGUUUUAUUAUAUAAUUCAUGAAUAAUUUUAUAAGGCUUAUCAAAACUGCCAUUCAAUAUGAAGGAGAUCAACAUUUCUUCAGCUCGUUACUUUUUUUUUUUUUUCAUUACUAGAGCCUAUAUUUAAGAGCGCAUAGGAACACUUAAUUUCAAUUUUUUUUAUGCCCCCACUUUAGUGGCAGGCAUUUAGAUCUACCCUUGUCCGCCCUUCCUUCCCUCCGUUCUCUUUUGUGUCGCAGGUAACUCAAAAAGUAUUUGACCUAGAGUCAUGAAACUUUACACUUAUGUUGAUCAGGAUGUGUAGUUGUGCACCUGGGUAUUUUCGUCUGGAUAUUUUUAGUAUUUUUAGAGUUAUUUCCCUUGACUUAGUAAAAUUUUGCAAUUUUCAACUUGUGUCGCAUGUUACUCUAAAGGUAUUUGACCUAGAGUCAUGAAACUUUACAGGAAUGUUGAUCAGCAUUAGUAUUUGUGCACCUGGGUAUUUUCGUCUGGAUAUUUAUAGUAUUUUUAGAGUUAUUGCCCUUGACUUAGAAAAUUUUUGCCAUUUUCAACUUGUGUCGCAUGAAACUCAAAAAGGAUUUGACAUAGAGUCAUUAAACCUUACGGGAAGGUCGCUCAGCAUAUUUAGUUUUGCACCUGGGGUUUCGCUUGUGGAUUUAUCCAGUAUUUGUAGAGUUAUUUUCAUUGACUUAGUAAAAACCGUUUCAUUAUGUUGUUAUUUGUUCCUUGAGUUCAACCAACUUAGGAAUAAUGAUCAAUAUCACUAAAUUACAGGAAUAAUGAUUCACAUCACUGUGAAGUUACGCACCUGGGACUUUGCAUGUAGAUUUAUUUCAGUUUUGUUAGAGUUAUUGCCCUUGACUUACAGUAGUAUAAAUUUGCAUUUUUUAACUUGUUCUUGCAUAGCUCAAAAAGUAUUUCACUUGUAGGCCUGAAAGUUUACAAGAAUGUUGGUCAGCAUGUGUACUUAUGCACCUUAGCGUUUGCUUGUGGAUUUAUUCAGUAUUUGUACAGUUCUUGCCCUUUACUUAGUAAAAGAUUUUUAGUUUUCAAAAAAUAUUUGACCUAGAGUCAUAAGAUUGACAGAACAGUGGCGCGGUGGGGGCACCCAUGUCCUAUGGACACAUUUCUAGUUUACUGUAAAGACAGUAACUAAAACAAACUAAUAUGACUUUUAUGUGCGAGUCACCUAACUUUUUUUUUUUCAGAAUAAUAAUAAUAAACUUGGUGUGACAUCACGUCAUUGUUUUGCGUCUUAAGGGGAUUUCCAGAAAAUCUAUUUUUAGGGAAAAAAUGAUCAGUAGAUAUCCUGCAUGGAAGCCUCUUCAAACACUAAUAUUCCAGCUACCAGUAGUAAUAAGUGUGAAGAACAACAAACAUCAGGUGACCGGCCCUGCCAGAUGGAAGCAGACAGAAUGGGAGAUACUUUUAUUGGGUUUCAUGCCACACCGACACAGUAUAGGUCAAAUGUCAACGUUUCAGCUUUAAUGGUGAAGGAAGACCUCAUGCAGCCUGUGAUGCAAGGUGCCCUUUCAAGUAUUAUUUCAGACACGAACGGGCACCU